UCGAGAAUCUUCCGCAAUGGACGAAAGUCUGACGGAGCGAUGCCGCGUGCGGGAUGAAGGCCCUCGGGUUGUAAACCGCUGUCAGUGGGGAGGAAAUUUUGACCGAACCGCAGAGGAAGUCCGGGCUAAGUACGUGCCAGCAGCCGCGGUAACACGUACCGGACGAACGUUAUUCGGAAUCACUGGGCUUAAAGAGUGCGUAGGCGGCUUUGUAGGUGAGGUGUGAAAUCCCACGGCCUAACCGUGGAACUGCGCUUCAAACCACAAGGCUUGAGGGAGACAGGGGUGAGCGGAACUGAUGGUGGAGCGGUGAAAUGCGUUGAUAUCAUCAGGAACACCGGUGGCGAAGGCGGCUCACUGGGUCUUUUCUGACGCUGAGGCACGAAAGCUAGGGUAGCGAACGGGAUUAGAUACCCCCGUAGUCC
rnacentral:rRNA from 1 species